CGUCCUAUUAGCUAGUUGGUGAGGCAAUGGCUCACCAAGGCUACGAUGGGUAGGGGUUCUUAGUGGAAGAUCCCCCACACUGGCACUGAGAUACGGGCCAGACUCCUACGGGAGGCAGCAGUAGGGAAUAUUGGUCAAUGGGCGAAAGCCUGAACCAGCCAUGCCGCGUGCAGGAUGACAGCUCUCUGAGUUGUAAACUGCUUUUGUACAGGAGCAAAACAAUCCCUGCGGGGGUUCUUGAGAGUACUGUAAGAAUAAGCACCGGCUAAUUCCGUGCCAGCAGCCGCGGUAAUACGGAAGGUGCAAGCGUUAUCCGGUUUUAUUGGGUUUAAAGGGUGCGUAGGCGGCUUAUUAAGUCAGUUGUGAAAUCCUAGCGCUUAACGCUAGAACUGCAAUUGAUACUAUU
rnacentral:rRNA from 1 species